ensembl:lncRNA
UCCUCAAAAUCUCCCCCAAACUGGGACCCCCUGCCCUUUACUGGGAGCACUGGGAGCUUCUGGCUCCGCCCCCUUUUGUAUUUAUUAAAGGUAUUUUGGGACAAAAUCUCCUUUUUUGGUCAUUUCUGGGAAAGGGGGGGUUGUGGGGGAGGGGCCGGCUGAGCCCUAAUGAGAUUUUGCUAAUAAUGUUUAUAAUUACAGUGAAUAAAUUUUAUUAUUAUUAAAAUUAUAUUAUUAGUAGGGAAUUAUAUUGGUAAAUAUGACUUAAGGGUUACAUUUAUUAUUAUUAUUAUUAUUAUUAUUAUUAUUAUUAUUAUUAUUAUUAUUGGUAUUGUUAUUAUUAUUACUGAAAUAAUAAUAUUAUUUAUUAUUAUGUAAUUAUUAUGAGAAUAUAAUUAUAAUUAUAAUAUUUAUAAUAAUAAAAUUAAAUUAUAUUAGUAAUCAUAACUUGAGGGUAAAAGAAUGCUAAUAAUAGUAGUAGUAGUAGUAAUAAUAAUAAAAAUAAUAAUAAUAUUACCCUCAAUUAUAAUCACUGAUUAAAGUGAAUAAAAAUUAGUAUUAUUUAAAUAUAUUAAUAGUAGGUAAUUAUAUUGGCAAUUAUGACUUUAGGGGAUAUUAAUAAUAAUAAUAUUAAUAUUAUUAUUAUUAUUAUUACUAUGAAUAAUAAUAUAAUAAUUAUUAAUAGUAUAAUUAUAAUAAUAAUGGAAAAAUAUUAUGAAAAAUCAUUUAUAAAAUAACAAAAAGCAAAACAAAAACAAGGAAAAAAUUCAAAACCCAUCACAUAUUUAACCCCAAAAUUAUCCAUUUUUAAUCAGCAAACUUUCCUCAAAAAUCCCAAUUUUCUCCCCAAAAAACGACUCCGGCACCGCUGCUCAAGCCACACCCAUUUAUUGCAGCACAAGCCCCGCCCUCAGCGGAGGAGGGGCAGCAGCACGAAGGGGAGGAGCCACCCGGGCCCGCCCAGCGAUUGGCCCCGCCCCACCGGGCCCUUGAUCCCGUCCUUGCGCCCCAUUGGCCGCCUGGGGGCCACGUGACCGGCGGCCAUAUUGUCUCCGUCAGCCAUUUUGUCUCCGUCCGCCAUUUUGUCUCCGUCAGCCAUCUUGUUUUCAUCAGCCAUCUUGUUUCCGUCAGCCAUUUUGUCUCCGUCAGCCAUCUUGUCUCCGUCAGCCAUCUUGUUUCCGUCAGCCAUCUUGUCCCCAGCAGCCAUCUUGCCCCCGGCAGCCAUCUUGCCGCGGGUGCCAUUUUUCCCGCCCCCAUCCUCCGUGGCGUUAUUGGGCGUGGCCGUGGGGGCGUGGCCGUGCGGCAGCAGCUCCAGCCGGGGCAGAUCGGGCGAGAACAAACUCCUGUCGGCCAUCUUGUCGUUGCAGAGGUCGCCGCGGCAACAGGAGCCGGCCAAUGAGGCGUCGGCGUCGCCGCGGCGCUCGGGGGCGCAGCCGCCAUCGGGGACGCAGCCCCGCAGCUCCCGCCACAGGGUGAGGUUACCUGAGGGGAAAGGGGGCGUGGUUUACGCAGAGUGGGCGGGGUUUAGAGAGAAAGGGGCAUGGUUUAACGCGAAGGGGACGUGGUUUAA